UAAAUAACAUUUUUUAUAAGCCACCAGGCUGUGGUACUUUGUUUUGGCAGCCCAGCAAACUAAUACAA